UUGAAACACAACUGCACAUUGAGAGAAAAAGAUCAGAAAAUAAGAGAAAGCAUGAUAGACACUAAAAAUUUCACACAUCUCUACCUAUUCCUGUAAAGAAACAAAAUACUGAUGUCUAGAUGAAUGAAGAGAAAGUUAGCGUUGCAAAGUUAUCAGUCAACAGCCGCCCGGUAUCAGCCACCCAAUUAUUUUCUUUUCUCAGUCAACAGAAGUCCGCCGCAGAGACAGUCUCAAAUCUCAUCCCCGGUCUCCUCCCCCGACCUCCGCCAUCUCUAUUCGCCUCCGCCGUCGCUCUUCGCCUUUGCCAUCGCCUUUCGCCUCCGCCUCCACCUUCGCCGUCGUUGUCCGCCUCCGCCCCCGCCCCUGCCGUCGCCAUUCCCCUCCACCUCUGCCUGUCCGCCAUCGCCCUUCUCUGGAGUGUUGGGAGAUGACUUUUGGAAGUCAAAAAAAAAAAAACAAAAAUGAUAAGAGAGAGAUGUGACCUGUCAGGAUUGAGAGAAUGGUUUUAAUUGCUUUUGUUUUUACUUCUUUGAGAAAUGGUUUCACGUGACAGUCUUGGAAAA